CCUACGGGAGGCAGCAGUGGGGAAUAUUGGGCAAUGGGCGCAAGCCUGACCCAGCAACGCCGCGUGAAGGAAGAAGGCUUUCGGGUUGUAAACUUCUUUUAUCAGGGACGAAACAAAUGACGGUACCUGAUGAAUAAGCCACGGCUAACUACGUGCCAGCAGCCGCGGUAAUACGUAGGUGGCAAGCGUUAUCCGGAUUUACUGGGUGUAAAGGGCGUGUAGGCGGGCUUGCAAGUCAGAUGUGAAAUUCCAGGGCUCAACCCUGGAACUGCAUUUGAAACUGUAGGUCUUGAGUGCUGGAGAGG
rnacentral:rRNA from 1 species